CCUACGGGUGGCAGCAGUGGGGAAUAUUGCACAAUGGGCGAAAGCCUGAUGCAGCAACGCCGCGUGAGCGAUGAAGGCCUUUGGGUCGUAAAGCUCUGUCCUUGGGGAAGAAAAAAAUGACGGUACCCUUGGAGGAAGCCCCGGCUAACUACGUGCCAGCAGCCGCGGUAAUACGUAGGGGGCAAGCGUUAUCCGGAAUUAUUGGGCGUAAAGAGUGCGUAGGUGGUUUUGUAAGCGCAGGGUGAAAGGCUAUGGCUCAACCAUAGUAAGCCUUGCGAACUGCAAGACUGGAGUGCAGGAGAGGAAAGUGGAAUUCCUAGUGUAGCGGUGAAAUGCGUAGAUAUUAGGAGGAACACCAGUGGCGAAGGCGACUUUCUGGACUGUAACUGACACUGAGGCACGAAAGCGUGGGGAGCAAACAGGAUUAGAUACCCUAGUAGUC
rnacentral:rRNA from 1 species